CCUACGGGUGGCAGCAGUGGGGAAUAUUGGACAAUGGGGGGAACCCUGAUCCAGCCAUGCCGCGUGUGUGAAGAAGGCCCUCGGGUUGUAAAGCACUUUCAGUGAGGAAGAACGCCUGGUGGUUAAUACCCAUCAGGAAAGACAUCACUCACAGAAGAAGCACCGGCUAACUCCGUGCCAGCAGCCGCGGUAAUACGGAGGGUGCGAGCGUUAAUCGGCAUUACUGGGCGUAAAGCGCGCGUAGGUGGCUUGAUAAGCCGGUUGUGAAAGCCCCGGGCUCAACCUGGGAACGGCAUCCGGAACUGUCAAGCUAGAGUGCAGGAGAGGAAGGUAGAAUUCCCGGUGUAGCGGUGAAAUGCGUAGAGAUCGGGAGGAAUACCAGUGGCGAAGGCGGCCUUCUGGCCUGCCACUGACACUGAGGUGCGAAAGCGUGGGUAGCAAACAGGAUUAGAUACCCUAGUAGUC
rnacentral:rRNA from 1 species